rnacentral:misc_RNA from 1 species
CUCAAAAUUGAAUCUUGGAUAGCAGACAUAUUUUGUUUCUAUACUUCUAGCAUAAAAAAUUUUCACAUCACCUCAGGCACCUAGAAUCUANNNNNNUUGACUUAUUAAAAGUGUUCUUGGCUAAUAAUUCAUCGAAAACAGACCCUCAGAUAAUAAGGAGCAUCCCAUUUUCAACUCUGCUCUUCGCCAUCUACAAUGUCUCUUUCUUCAGCAGCAGCUGCCAUCAAUUCAUCAAAGUUUUCAGUCUUCCCCAGCAAUAUCUCGAUCUUGGCUUUUUGGACAGGCCGCCCUCUUGAUUCAUCUCUCAUAUCAACCGUUGAAGUCAUGAUCUUCUUUUCAACAGCCAAUCCAUUGUUUUUCAGAAUUUCUGCNNNNNNNNNNNGGGCAAUAGCCAUUCCAAGUGCAGACAGUUCCACCUCGUUGUGCUGCUGCAUGUACCUCUUGGCGAGAUUGACGUAGAAGAAUAAGGGCUUCUUGGUGUUGGAGACUUGAAUACG